rnacentral:ncRNA from 1 species
AUACGAAAAGAGCAAAACCCUGGGAGAACAGGGGACGCAAAGGGAGGGUCUUUAGCUUACAUGGAUGUAAAAAAGACAACCUUACUUCCAAAAAAGAUAGCCUUACUGCCGAA